UCCCUAGUGGCUCAGAUGGUACAGCAUCUGCCUACUAUGUAGAAGACCGGGGUUCAAUCCCUAGAUUGGGAA
rnacentral:tRNA from 1 species